UUCAUUGCAACUCUGACCUCAGCACCAGCAUCUGCUUCCUGAAGGGAGAUGGCUAGGAUGGACACACAGCCUCCUUCUGGAAGAAAACAGUGUCUCCGGGCAAGCUGAGUUUGCUAGAGACCCUCACACCAAACAGACCAGCACAAUGAUUUCCCAGGGAGUCUGGACAAGUCCGUUCAUGUGGUUUUUCUACAGCAUGACCUCAGGUUUUCUCACGGGUAAGAAUGAAUUUAAAUACAACUGAUAGUUUGGGCCUUGAAUAUAGGUUAAGGUGACAAAUACUUUCCUGGGUUUGGGGUUGAAUUAAAAUGUCAAUUUUUAAAAAACCUUUUAAUCUCCAUUUUCGCAUCUCAAAUGCCUGCAUUCUAUUUGGAAAAUUUCCUCCUAAUAUCCACAGAACAAUCUAGAAAGAUGCCAUUAAUAUAGUCUGCAGAGUUCUAUGCAUUUUGCAAUUUCAUCUGGUAUUUGAAAGGUUAAGGUAUAGUUAUUGCAGUUAUUUUCCAUGUGGCACUUAAAAUGAUUAAAAAUUCUGACAAAUACAAAAAGACAUUUAUAAGCUUCAUAUUGGGCAUGAGAUUUAUAAAAAUUAGAUUUUUCUUUGGUCAUUAUAGAAAAAGGUACUUCAUACCAUUUAAAAAUAGAUUUGGUUUGGGGCAUUUUCUCUCCCAGUAAGAUUGCAUAAUUUUCUGUUCCACUCCUGGUUUCUUGUAAUUACCUUCUUUAUUGUCCCCAAAGUGCAGCUCCUCCCUUACCUGUUAGUGUUUCUUUAAGUGACACUGCAUUUAAGAGAAAUUUCUCCAAUAUACUGGUCACUUUGUGGUGUUGGUGGGAGCCUUGUGUACUAAAGAAACGUUUCCAAGUUUAGCUGACAUAGAAAUGGAUGGCAUUUCCAGGCCCCAAACCUUCAGCAUUCCGAAGGUUCAGCAAAUGCUGCCCACUUGUCUAUAUAUGCGGGGCUCGUCCUGCAUUUAUUUGAGCUUAUGUCUCACUCCUUUCAGAAAACUAAUAUAGAUUGCAGGCCACUUGCUGUCUCCACAGUAUAUGCAUUCUAUUACUGCUUGCUUGCCUUGGCCUUCGUUGUUAUAAUUUUCCCACGGGGGCUGUUGAAAUGGUUCGGUUGGUAACUGUACUUUGUUGCCAAGCCUGACAACUGAGUUCAAUCCUCAGAACUCAAACGGUGGAAGGAGAGGGCCAGCUUCCUCAAGUUGUCCUCUGACCUCCACAAACUUGUCAUGGCAAAUAAGCCAGUCUGCCAACCCAUGUGUCCUCCUGCUACACCCACCCCACCACGUAUCAGUGUCUGUGUCUGUACAUGUUUGUGACUUCCUAGUUUAGCCACUGGUCGUAUAACAUCAUUUUCCCAUUUGUGAAGUGUUUAUAACAGCCACCUUAAAGUCUUGAGGAGUUAAAACAAGACAAUACAAAGAAGUUUUAAAAACUUUAACACCCCUGCCCCAAAUGCUAAUUAUUCUUAUCUUUUGGUAUUACAAAUAAUGGUGUCAGAAAAUACUUGUUUUAGCUAAAGUUGCCUUCAUGCAAUUUUGAGCAUUUGCUCAGAACUCUGUAGGCGAACAUUGCAAACGCAGAGUGAACUUCUAUUGCUUACUAGAUCACUUGGUAGAUGAGUAAAGUUGACUUGCUUCGCCUUUUCCAAAUAAAAGUGGGUGACUUAGGAAACUGUUUGCUAAUACUAAUAACAAUGACAGCCUGCCUCUAACUUCCUUCCUUCUUCUCUCUCUCUCCUUCUCUUCUUUCUCUCCUAAGAUCGGACCUAUGACCUAAUGCAUCUUGAUGCAAUUGCUCUACUAUUGAACAGUAUUCUCAGAGCCUUGUCCCUGCUUGUUUUUUGCUUAGGUUUUUGUAACUUUCUGUUUUUCAGUUGGAGUUUCCCUACAUUUUCAAAGCUGCCUUGAGCUUGCUCUGUAACCCAGACAGGGCUUGGAUUUGCAAUCCUCCUGCUUUGCCUUCCAUGUAGAUUGAAUUCUUAACCUGUGCCAGUAAACAUGGCUUACAUUUCUGAGCACACCGUAUCUUCUAGAUUAACAAUAAAAGUUCUUCAGACAUGUUAGUCUGCAAGGUGGGUCUGAUGACCCCCAUUUUACACCAGUAAUCAAGACUCGGAAAGGUUCAGUUCUUUUGUCCAGGUAUUUGAUGAAUGGGGGAAUUGGCGUUCAACUCUAAUUUAGCAUCUCCAGACAGAAGUUCUGCGUGUGCUGUCCUUCUGUGGAGAAGGAGGGGAGACAGAUGUAGGUGAGAAAAAAAGGAGGGGUGACAGAGCGAAGGGAUUAAGGGGAUGAAAGCCUUUCCCAGUGAAUGCAUUUACCUUAAAAACUUGGAGGAAAGGGUGACGGAAGGAAAACCAAACAAGCAGAGGUGACAAGAGGGGUCCAGGGAGGAAGAGUUUGCCCUGUGGCUUAAUGGAGGAUGCCUUCCUGCUGCCUCCCUUGCAUGCACCUAAGAUUUUAGGAUACAGAUGUUUGGGAGAUGUGAGUCUUAGAGCCACUAAAAGGACCCCGACGGCUGAGAGAUGAGGAGAACCAUCAGGCCUAAACUAACUCCUUCUGAGAGUCAAGGUGCGUGUGGCUCACUUGCUCAGUUUCCUUCACUUAGUGUCUCUGAGCUCCUUUUCUGUGAUGGGCUCUGAGCUAGGUGCUGAUUAGAGAUGAGCAAAACCAUCCCCUGUUUACAGUAAACAUAAAGCCUGCUAGAAAAUACACUGCAGCCUUCAACAUCUGGAGAUUUAACGUAUUUGAAACCGUUCUUUAUCCCCCGGAAGUGAGCUCUAGGUCAGUGUUCCAGUCUCAGAGGAACUCUGAGGAGCUUUUUACAAAUGUAACUGCCAAGGCUGUGUGGCCAAGGAUCCCAGAUUCAUCUGGGGAGCAGCCUAGGCACUGGGAGUUUAGAAGCUCCAUGGGUGGGGCUCUUUAGAGAAGUGGAUGCUUACAAGACUGGGCAAGGAGAAUGCAAGAUGAGACAGGAACAACUCGUGGUAAGCAAUGAAGUGCUUAAAAUAGGAUGAGGGCCCGAAAGUAGCAGAGCAUCUUGGGUUGGAUUUUGGAAUGGAAACAGUUGUUCGUGGGAGAACUGGCAAAAUCCAAAUCAAGUCUGGGAUUUUGUGUGUGUGUGUGUGUGUGUGUGUGUGUGGUCAUUGAACCACAGCGUCCCUUAGUUUUGAUAACUGUGUCAUUUGGAAUGGGUAGAUCUAGAGUUAUUAUUUUAAAGUCUAUUGACAAGGCUGGGUGUGGUGAUGCAUGUAUUUAAACCCAGCACUCAGAAGCAGAGGCUGGUGGAUCUCUGAUUUUGAAGCCAGGAAAGGCUACUUAGAUCCUGUCUCAAAAAAAAAAAAAAAGCAAAAACAAAACAAAAAACAACCCCAAAUCAAAGCAAAUUG
rnacentral:lncRNA from 1 species